ensembl:lncRNA
UACUAUGUCAAACAAUGAGAAAAAAAAAGGAGUUUCCUCAAAACUAAAACUCUACUCCUUACAUUUGACUCAAAUCUUGUUUCCUUCUCAGUAGCUAAUUGAUGUAGCAAUAAAUACAUGAGGCAGGUGCUUCCUCUGAGUGUUUAAUCGAUUCUGGCAGACCAUGAGGUUCUAUGGGAGACUUUUUUUUUUCUAUUUUUCUUUUUUUAUUUCUAGAUGGGGAUUUGUUGCUCACCAUUAACAGACCUGCAUCUCCUUCACUAACGGAUGCUUCUCUGUGAGCGCGUCACCAUCUACCCAGAUCUCGCAUUUCUCUGCAGCUCUUGUCGCCUUCUCGGUCAGAAGUCGGUGGUAUUUUAAAUAUUUGUUUAAAUCGAUUAACAAGUCAAAGCUGUAAACACCCGGGAGGGGAGGGAGGGCAAGCUUGUAGUGAUUUGUUCAUUUUAGAGGCACUCGUUUUUAUCUAACCUAGCAAACUAAUCACUUUCCUUAUCCCCUCGGCUGAUCUGUGGCUUAUUUGCGAAGCUUCGGGCACGGCUGAACACCGAUGUAGGUGAACCUUGUUCUCUAACCCGUCUGUAACUUAUGCACAUUAGUCACUGUUGACGAACGAGGCGCUUCUGUCGCUCUCUGACCGUUUAAUAAUCCUUAGCCCCGGUCUCUGGCAGUCCUUUAGAGCUUGGCACUUUAAAAAGAAAAAGAAAAAAAAACACACAGACACAAAAAGGGGCAGGCCAUUGAGACGGAUCUGACCCCACCCAAAAAAAAAAAGAAAAGAACUACAAAAGACUCGAAUGAAAAAGAAAAAUACUUGCAUACAGAAUCUACUCGUCACUGAAAGUGAGUUUAGCCAGUGUAGUCUAUAUUUCUUGUAUUAAAUUUUGUAUUAUAUUUUCCUAAAUGUUCUCUUGUAAUGAAAAGACAAAAAAGAGUGAGUAUAUCUAUCUUAUCUAUAUAUAAAAAAAUAUAUAUAUAUAAAUAUAUAUAAAAAUAUGAGUGACAGCCAGACAGACAGGAGGCCAGGCUUGAUGAAGGGAGAGUGGGAGCAGGGGAGCUGAUAGACUGGCCCCUCUCCCUUUGGGUGACUCUCCUGCUGUCAUUCUGUGCCUUGGUGAGCCUUCGACCUCCCUCCUCCUCCUCCUCUUUGGCCCUUACUCAGGUCACGCUCCCCCCUGUCCUCUCCCCCUCUCGCUUGCAUCCCUCCCUCCUCCUCCUCUGGCGGGGCCUUUUUUAAAUUUCAACGUGAGACACUUCCAUGCGUGAGGGCCGCGUGAAGAGAGAAGACCUCAUAAAUGAGUAAAAAUUAUCCCCCCCACCUCCCCCUUUAUCUCAGUUCCUACUGAAGCCGCUGUUGUACUACACCCUGUCCAGGCACUCCUCCGCCCUCUCGCUGCCCGCCCGUCUGCCAGCGCCGCCUCUGUCAUGGAGAUAAAAAACAAACACACACACACACACACACACUGGUGAACUCCCAUGGCAGCUUCCAGUCGCCCCAAAUGGUCACCGAAGGGGUUAAAAACUUCUGGGCUUGAAGCGUGUUUAUCUUUAUUUUGAUUUUUUUGUCAUUUUAUUAUUGUUGUAUGUUGACUUGUUUGUUCGGUGGGAGCCACUGGGAGAGGAGCGAUAAAAAAACAGAAUAAUCCAAUCAAUGGCAGCUUAACGGUGUUAUCCUCCGAGCUCCCGGUGGUGCGUCCCAAACAAAGUGUUACCCAUCGAUCAGGGGACCUCUUGAGACACAGCAAUAUUACCAUCUUGUGCUUUCUGAGGGAGGGUGGGGCGGGUGGGGCGCAGGGUUUUUAAAGACAAGCAGGUGGUUUUUGCUCUUGACUCUGUGGUGCAUUGUUUUUUGUUUUUUUUUGGUGACCAACUCUUAUAUAUAUUUUUUAAUUUUUACCUCCUAUCUGCACUCUCUCCAUAUUCUGCAGGAGGGGAAAAGAGAUGAGGAAAAAACAGCUGUUUGUUUUGGGGUUUUUUUAAUCAUCGAGUUUACAUUCAUGUCAAAGACUUUGUACAUGACUGUUUGUAGCAAAAAAUGUCCUUUUUUCAGUUUGUCAGUCAAAUGAACAACUGAGUAAACCAUUACUAAAUGGCAUAUUCUCUCGCACAGAACCUCCCACAGCGAUAAUUGACAUAAAAAGAAGCAGAAGAC